AAUCAAAACACUUAGAAUUUAUUCAUAGUUUCUCUCUAAAAAAACACAUCUUGCAGAUACAUAUCUUGUUCAAGUUCAAUCCUAGAGAGAAUGUGUUUUCAAUCCAUAAUAGCUCUGGUGCACUACAACGGUCGGAUCAUCAAUGACGAGCUUUUGUCAUCACGAUUUGUGAGCCAAGUUUCACGAUAUCUUGAAGUCAAUAACUCCAUGUCAGUAACCGCUCUCAAACAAACGAUUCUUGAUUUGUUUAUUGCUUCCAAUGGAAAAUCAUACACCGUUGAUUUGUGUUAUCGUUGUCCACUUAAAACAAAUGAAUUAAAGAUUUCUUAUCGUACU